rnacentral:lncRNA from 1 species
GCAGCCUCGGCGCGUGUGGCCGCGGAUCCCCAGCUCCAAGGGCCUCACCUUCCUGCCGCCACCUCCUAGGACAGCGGCGUGAGGCCCAAACCUCUAGGUAGGGCCCAGUUGGAUCCUGAUUUUUCAUUGAGCCAGGCAGUCUCAGCCCGAGUUGAAAGGCCUCCUUAGCCUUGGAACUAACGUCUCUUCACCCUGACUUCUGGGCAAGGGGAGAUCCCAGGAAAAGGUUUACCUGCAGGUUUUCCAAGGCCAAAGCCCCAGCAAGGACCCCCUCUCCAACCUUUGUUAUAGGGCUACAUGGGGCCUGGGCUCAGCAUCCUCAUUUGGGGUAAACUGAGGCCCGGGACAAGCCCGGCAGAGCCUAAGGCUGCUCGGGGAGUGGGGCCAAUCAGAGAUGAUUGGAGCUGCCAGAAACUCUAAUCAGAUGACCUCCAAUUCAUCCUUAAAAGUUGAAUGGUGGGGAGGGGCUGGAGUCUCUUCCUCCCUCCUCCCAAGUUGGGGCUCCUGGAUGUGUUGACUCCAGGCUGUGCCUGGUUGUGGAGGGUCUGGGGCAGGGUGUGAGGGGUGCUGUGGAACUGGAGCAGGAGACAGGGCUGGGUGUUCCUGGUGCAGCCCUUCUGGGCAUGGGAGAGAAGCCCCAAGGCCCUGGGUUGCUCCCCAAGAGCAGCUCUGAGGCCUCCUGCUCAGCCCUGGCCUGUGUGGGGAGCGAGUGUGCCCCCCACCCAGCCCCUGCCACCGCCGUUACUUAUUCUCACUGAUGUGGGGUUAUCAUAUAAUUGGCACCAUGCUGUCUGUAGGACAUUAUGACGUGCUUGGGUUCUGGUUUGAGUUGGCAGCCCGUUGGGUCUCUCUGCCUGGUGGAGCCUUGGGGUGGCAGGUACGUCCCUUCCCCCGCCCAGGUGCUUCAUCCUCAUGGCCAGGCCUGGUGGCUUGGCACGUCUCUGCUGCCCCAAGCCCAGCUUCCUUCUGCUGGGCGUUCCUGCCCCACUGGCUCUGCCGGACUUGGCUACUGGACUCUCCCCUCCCUCAUGCCUCUGCCCAGAGAUGUCCCAAAGGCCCUCAGGGCCAAGCCGGGCCAGGGAUGUGGCUGCCACAGCUGAGACCAAGGGCUCUGGCUGGCCCGUCCCCACCAGGUGGCCCUGCCCUCCCCAAGUUGGGGGUUGUGGCACUUGGGGUCAGGCCUAGCCACGUAAGGACACAGGUAACACCCUGAGGAUCUGGCAUUGGCAGCUUCAGGCCUAACUUUCCUGGUCAGGGCCCCUUAAGGUGGCCCGGGCACAUUGGUUUCAUUUCGAUGAGACUUUGUCAGAGGCCUGGUCUGGUCCUGGCCCUACCGCCCCAGCUGUCCUUCAGCACAGCUCGGGGUGGGGACUCCAGGAUGCUGGGUCUGCCCCUUGGGAGGGGCACUCUGGAAGGUCAGGGUGAUCCACAACUGUGAGCUGAGGUUGGAUGCAGCUGGGAGCUUGGGACAGAGAGAGCCCAGGGCUCCCCUGCUGUGGGGCACCUGCCCAGCGGGGACAUGAGAUGACAGAGACCUCCCCGGCGGGGGUACUCAGGUGCUACGAACAUGGCAGCUCUUGUUUCCGGCUGAGCCAUGGCCAGAGCAGGGCUCAGUCUGCCCCUGAACUUGCUGAAUGGACCGACGAGCUGAGCCUGAAAGCCCAGAAGAGCCUCGGUCCAGAAGACGGAGACUCGGCCCGGUGUCCAGCGCAGCCCAGGGCUUCCUGGGGGGCAGCAGGAGUGCCUGGGGGUCACCGCCUUCAGGACAAUGGCCUCAGUGGCUCUUUCUUUCUGCCCUGAACUGGCACCUGCACCUCCUCUGCUUCCUAGAGGGUGACCUGGGCCGAGCCGCCCAGUCCUUCUUCCCCUGAGGCCAGAGGGGACGCCCCGCGGCCACAUCACACAGGAUCCUCAGCAGCCAUAGUCUCGCUUCAGGGUGUCCAGUGUUUCGAGGAGGAGAGGGGACAGGGGCCAGGUCCACUCCCUUGGCCCUCCUCUUGGACCCCAAGGCCAGGCCGGAUCCUUUUAUCCCGUGGGGAGCCCCUGCCUCGGCCAUCGGGAUGAGGUCCCUCAAGUCCCUGCACAAGCAGGUCAGAGACCCACCCACAUGCCGUUCCUGGGCUACGCCACGCGCCAUCCCCCGGGGCUGUGGACGCACCCAGCCCCCGACAGACAGGCGCCCUGAGAGCUCCGAAGGCGCGAUCCCCAUCCCCACCAGUGGAGAAGCCAGAACCGCGAUUGUUGCAUCUGGGAAAACCCAGCUGGAGCCGAACGGCCCGUGCCCCCACUGUAAUUGUGCUGAAAAUGUUUCUCAAAUGACCCAAAUUGGCUCUUAUUUUUUCUAAUGGCCCUUUCAAAGUAUUCAUGAAAUUGAUGCUGUGUCAUAAAACAAAAAUAAAAGAUUUCACAGCAA